AACGAACGCUGGCGGCAGGCUUAACACAUGCAAGUCGAGCGCCCCGCCAGGGGAGCGGCAGACGGGUGAGUAACGCGUGGGAAUCUACCCAUCUCUACGGAAUAACGCAUGGAAACGUGUGCUAAUACCGUAUACGUCCUUCGGGAGAAAGAUUUAUCGGGGAUGGUAUGAGCCCGCGUUGGAUUGGCUGGUUGGUGGGGUAAAGGCCUACCAAGGCGACGAUCCAUAGCUGGUCUGAGAGGAUGAUCAGCCACACUGGGACUGAGACACGUACCAGAUUCCGACGGGAGGCAGCAGUGAGGAAUAUUGGACAAUGGGCGCAAGCCUCAUCCAGCCAUGCCGAGUGAGUGAUGAAGGCCCUAGGGUUGUAAAGCUCUUUCACCGGUGAAGAUAAUGACGGUAACCGGGGAAGAAGCGCCGGCUAACUUCGUGCCAGCCGCCGCCGUAAAAC
rnacentral:rRNA from 1 species